rnacentral:rRNA from 1 species
GUGAAAUCGUUGAAGUGGAACCGGAGAGAGUUGACGUAGUAUGGUGGAUAAGUAUUGCAAGAAUCGCUUCAAACAAUGAAUGUGAUCGAGUAAUAUGUACGUCACCAAAGACUGCGCUGACAGCAUCGACUACACGCUCUGAACUGUGUUGACAUGUUGCCUAUUCUAGUAUAUAGAAUGGUGUCUUGUGUUACGUGGUGAAGUUUGUUGUUAUGUUGUUGAUGUUGAUAAGUAUGAUUAUACACCAAGUAUAAUUAUGUCAGUGUAAAAGUCAACCACCUCUCCGACCCGUCUUGAAACACGGACCGAGGAGUGUAACUUGUACGCGAGUCAUUGGGUGGAAAAACCUUAAGGCGAAACGAAAGUGAAGGCACGGUUAACCGGCUGACAUGGGAAACGUGCGGUAUUGUUAGCGAGACGUUACACCAUGGCCCUGUCUUGUCUGCAUGCAGAUGGGCAGCGGUAGAGCGUACAGGUUGCGACCCGAAAGAUGGUGAACUAUGCCUGAGCAGGACGAAGUCAGAGGAAACUCUGGUGGAAGUCCGUAUCGGUUCUGACGUGCAAAUCGAUCGAUAGACUUGG